CACGUAGGGCGCGAGCGUUUGUCCGGAAUUAUUGGGCGUAAAGAGCUCGUAGGCGGUUUGUCGCGUCUGCUGUGAAAACCCGAGGCUCAACCUCGGGCCUGCAGUGGGUACGGGCAGACUAGAGUGCGGUAGGGGGAGAUUGGAAUUCCUGGUGUAGCGGUGAAAUGCGCAGAUAUCAGGAGGAACACCGAUGGCGAAGGCAGGUCUCUGGACCGCAACUGACGCUGAGGCGCGAAAGCUAGGGGAGCAAACGGGG
rnacentral:rRNA from 1 species